ACCGUCGUUGCCUCGGCGUGAGCUACGGCUACCCUGUAGUUACCCUGGAGCUACCCUAUAGCUACCCUGUAGUACCCUACAGCUACCCUAUAGGUACCCUGGAGCUACCCUGUAGACGGCUUAUGGCCCGCCGAAGGACCGCUAAACUCUUGUUUUUAUUGCUGUUAUUCUGAAUUAUAAACUAAAAUAAGUUAAAACUUUCAACAACGGAUCUCUUGGUUCUGGCAUCGAUGAAGAACGCAGCGAAAUGCGAUAAGUAAUGUGAAUUGCAGAAUUCAGUGAAUCAUCGAAUCUUUGAACGCACAUUGCGCCCAUUAGUAUUCUAGUGGGCAUGCCUAUUCGAGCGUCAUUUCGACCCCUAAGCCCUUGUUGCUUAGUGUUGGGAAUCUACGGCGUAGUUCCUUAAAGUUAGUGGCGGAGUUAGGGUUCACUCUCAGCGUAGUAAUAUCUCUCGCUCGUGUGGUGGCCCUGGCUGCUAGCCGUUAAAACCCCUAUAUUUUUUAGUGGUUGACCUCGAAUUAGGUAAGAAUACCCGCUGAACUUAAGCAUAUCAAUAAGCGGGAGGAA
rnacentral:rRNA from 1 species